rnacentral:rRNA from 1 species
UGGGGAAUCUUGCGCAAUGGGCGAAAGCCUGACGCAGCCAUGCCGCGUGAAUGAUGAAGGUCUUAGGAUUGUAAAAUUCUUUCACCGGGGACGAUAAUGACGGUACCCGGAGAAGAAGCCCCGGCUAACUUCGUGCCAGCAGCCGCGGUAAUAAGAAGGGGGCUAGCGUUGCUCGGAAUUACUGGGCGUAAAGGGAGCGUAGGCGGACUGUUAAGUUAGAGGUGAAAGCCCAGGGCUCAACCUUGGAAUUGCCUUUGAUACUGGCAGUCUUGAGUACGGAAGAGGUAUGUGGAACUCCGAGUGUAGAGGUGAAAUUCGUAGAUAUUCGGAAGAACACCAGUGGCGAAGGCGACAUACUGGUCCGUUACUGACGCUGAGGCUCGAAAGCGUGGGGAGCAAACA